GAAACGCGAUAAGUAAUGUGAAUUGCAGAAUUCCGUGAAUCAUCGAAUCUUUGAACGCACGUUGCGCCCUCUGGCAUUCCGGGGGGCAUGCCUGUCCGAGCGUCAUUACGCACCCUCAAGCCCGGCUUGUGUGAUGGGCCCCGGCGUCUCGUUCGCGAGACGGGCCCGAAAGGCAGCGGCGGCGUCGACCCGAUGAGCCCGAGCGUAUGGGGACUUCUGUCACACGUUCGCGGUGCGGACCGGCGCCUGCUUGACUUUUCUGAUUAUCCAGGUUGACCUCGGAUCAGGUAGGGAUACCCGCUGAACUUAAGC
rnacentral:misc_RNA from 1 species